rnacentral:rRNA from 1 species
UACAGAGGUCUCGAGCGUUAGGCGGAAUCACUGGGCUUAAAGCGUGUGUAGGCGGAUCGUUAAGUACCUUGUGAAAUCCCACGGCUUAACCGUGGAACUGCUUGGUAUACUGGCGGUCUUGAGCCAGCUAGGGGCUACCGGAACAAAUGGUGGAGCGGUGAAAUGAGUAGAUAUCAUUUGGAACGCCAAUGGUGAAAACAGGUAGCUGGGGCUGUGCUGACGCUGAGACACGAAAGCCAGGGGAGCAAACGGG